rnacentral:pre_miRNA from 9 species
UCUCGAUAGCGUAAAAGUUAACUCAAAUUUGUAGGGAGCUGGAACGUUUGCCUACGUUUGCCGCUAGGGGCGCUGUUCCAGCUGUAUACAAAUUUAAGUUAACUUUUACGCUAUCGA